rnacentral:misc_RNA from 1 species
UCGGCUUUUCCUCUCUCCUUCUUCUCCUCGAAGAGAAAGGAUUCUCCAAUCAGACUCCUCCGAUUCCAUACUUCUUCCAAAAAGAAUGAAAAUGAUUCUGAUCUUCGAUCUGAAUCCAAGGAUUCUAGCAUCGUCCCCUUCUUUGACAACCCUACCCUAUCCAAGGAUGCGGCCAUGGGAUUGGUUCUGAGUGCUGCUUCGGUAAGAGGCUGGACCACUGGUUCCGGCAUGGAAGGGCCCCCCGUGCCUGCCGGAGCUGAUGAAGGAUCGAAUACGGAGAAGGUUUCAACCUUGCCAUGGUCUCUCUUCACCAAAUCGCCGCGUAGGAGAAUGCGCGUUGCCUUCACCUGCAAUGUUUGCGGUCAAAG